rnacentral:misc_RNA from 1 species
GAAAUGCGAUAAGUAAUGUGAAUUGCAGAAUUCAGUGAAUCAUCGAAUCUUUGAACGCACAUUGCGCCCGCCAGCACUCUGGCGGGCAAGCCUGUUCGAGCGUCAUUUCAACCCUCAGAACCCCUUGCGGGAUCUGGCGUUGGGGAUUGGCAUCCAGCCAGCCCCGAAAUCUAGUGGCGGUCCCUCCGCGACCUCCCCUGUGCAGUAGCGAUACCUCGCAGCGGGACAGCGGUCUGACCACGCCGUAAAACCCCCAACUUCUCAAGGUUGACCUCGAAUCAGGUAGGAAUACCCGCUGAACUUAAGC